rnacentral:lncRNA from 1 species
GAAAGAUAAAGACCAGCAACGUCCAGACCCAGCAUCUGGUCUCAGAAAGUGCAAGAGAGCUGGAAUUGGACACAGCCCAGUAAGAGAGCUUCCUGAAGAAUAAGUUGCUUUCUCAGGAGUCUCUGAUGACAAACAUCCUGAAUGAAAACAGCACUUGAGAGACAACUUGGGGGACCGCCUUUCAUUAUGUGUGCUAGAGGAGAAACAGCAAUACGUCUGUGCUUCUAAAUGUUCGUUAAGAAUAUGCUUUUAGAAAUAUUUUUGUUAUGAUUUUAAUUGAAGUUUUCUUUUUGUUGUUUCAUAUUUAUAUGUUCUUGUUACUAUUUUUACUUUCAAAUAUUUUUAAAUAUUUUUAUUCAUGUUAAUCUUGUUU